GCCAUGUGAUCUCUGCGGUCUCUGCACAUAAUGGUUCCCCUUCUCCUUCUGCUAUGAGUGGAAGCAGCCAGAAGCUUUCAUCAGAAGCAGACGCUGGUGCCAUACCUGCAGAACUGUCAGCCAAGCAUAAUGUAAAAUUACACUGCUCUACUGCCUUGAAGUUAGAAGAGCCUGUGUGACUUGCUUUGGUCACUAAAAUUCCACUGAUUGAAAUUGACAUAUGUCACUUUCAGAUGGAAGCUUACGUGGCCAGGUGAAAAUUAGUUUUUGCCCUCCUGCCAGGACAACCAGGGACAUUCUGGAUGGUGGAAGCUCUAUGUGCCUGGGUCUCUAGGGGAGGAGACUUGGGGCAAAGAAAACUCCCCGUCAUCCCUCACUGGACACUUUGCAUAAAUGAGAAAUAAACCUUUGCUUUUAAAAAGGA
rnacentral:lncRNA from 1 species